UACGAAGGGGGCUAGCGUUGCUCGGAAUGACUGGGCGUAAAGGGCGCGUAGGCGGAUGGCACAGUCAGAUGUGAAAUUCCCGGGCUUAACCUGGGGGCUGCAUUUGAUACGUGUGAUCUAGAGUGAGGAAGAGGGUCGUGGAAUUCCCAGUGUAGAGGUGAAAUUCGUAGAUAUUGGGAAGAACACCGGUGGGCGAAGGCGACGACCUGGUCCGUUGACUGACGCUGAGGCGCGGAAAGCGUGGGGAGCAAACAGG
rnacentral:rRNA from 1 species